AGUGAACGCUGGCGGUAGGCCUAACACAUGCAAGUCGAACGGCAGCACAGUAAGAGCUUGCUCUUACGGGUGGCGAGUGGCGGACGGGUGAGGAAUACAUCGGAAUCUACUUUUUCGUGGGGGAUAACGUAGGGAAACUUACGCUAAUACCGCAUACGACCUACGGGUGAAAGCAGGGGAUCUUCGGACCUUGCGCGAUUGAAUGAGCCGAUGUCGGAUUAGCUAGUUGGCGGGGUAAAGGCCCACCAAGGCGACGAUCCGUAGCUGGUCUGAGAGGAUGAUCAGCCACACUGGAACUGAGACACGGUCCAGACUCCUACGGGAGGCAGCAGUGGGGAAUAUUGGACAAUGGGCGCAAGCCUGAUCCAGCCAUACCGCGUGGGUGAAGAAGGCCUUCGGGUUGUAAAGCCCUUUUGUUGGGAAAGAAAAGCAGCAGGUUAAUACCCCGCUGUUCUGACGGUACCCAAAGAAUAAGCAACGGCUAACUUCGUG
rnacentral:rRNA from 1 species